UGUUUACACAACUACGUCAUUGAUAUCUGUGUAAAACACAUGAGUACACCACAGCGAACAAAAUUGCUGGUUUGUAAAACCUUGGAAGAGGCUUUAAGGAAAAUCCAGGAGCUGGAAAUGCAAGAUAAUUUGUGCCUGACUCUAGUACGAAGAAUUUUGGGAAGACGAUUUGGCCUAAAAAGACCUGUAGCAGUUAACAAGCUAUAUACAAAAUGACCACCACCACUAUCACCCUAAAGUGUGUGCUUGGUGUCUGUCUACACGUGCUUGCUUCUGGAAUGUUGAAGAACAAACUGUGUUGAAACGCCAACUGGAGUUGGUCAUGGACCUUUGCCGCCCUUCAUCCAGAGCCUUCCACAGAGAUGGCAGAUAUAUCGCUGCCUGGACCAACAGUUGACCAUGCCGUUGAGUCCAUGAUAUCAGUAGCAGCCAUGAAAACAUCUACAGAAUUACAUCUGCGGCCGUGCCUAUUAAUGGAUACAUUCUGCACCACUUCCAUGUGCUGUCAGUUUGAAACGUCUCUACUCUGACAGAAGGAAGGGAAUGAAUACCCAGGAUUGUUCCUCAGGAAAAUCUCUUCAACAGGCUGUUGUCAGUUUGCAUGCUCUUUGGAUGGAAUUACUCUACCUUGGCUUGCAGAGAAUCUGUGAUAUAAAAGACCUCUUUUGUGCUGCAUUGUGUCAUUGAUUUAUUGUAUUUUAUAUGUAUUAUGCCACUAUUGUAAAAACAAAUGGGCAUAUGUUUUAGCAUAUGUUUUCAAACAGACACAUUCAUAUUUAAAACAGACACAUUUAUAUUUUUGAAUAAUUUGAAAAUACAUUUUGUAGGUUGACUUCACACCAUGAAACAUUAAUGGUAGGUUAUAUUUGACCAGAACAUGACAAGUAUUGUUUUCGGAGUUUUUUGGUCGAAGGUGAAGGUAAUGGCUAACAGUGGUUAUUCUGCACAAUGACCCUUGAAUUCUUUGACCUAGGACCAUUAAUAUUUAGUGAUUGAUAUAUCAGUCCAACUCAUAUGUGAAAGGGACAUGAUGAAAUUGAGCAAGAGCUUAUUAGCAUUGCAAAUUAUUAUUUGUUCAUUUUUAGCUCGACUAUUCGAAGAAUAGGUGGGCUAUACUAUCAUUAACAAUUCUGCGUUUAAGUUUUCAUUUUAUGUAAUAAAAUCAAGAGUUUUUAUCCAAUGGUAAUCAAACUUGGUCAGACUAUUUGUCGGCAUGUUGAAGAUGUAUGAAUAUGGGUCAUCCCUGGUCAAAUUCUAGGUCACUAGGUCACAUCUUAGAGAAAAUAUUUCCAUGUCGUAAAUUCAACAUUUUUUUCAUAUCUUUAUGAAACUUGGUCAGAAUAUUUGUCUGCAUACUAUCUUGAAAGUUUUUUAAUAUGGGUCAUCCCGAGUCAAAUUCUAGGUCACUAGGUCAAAUCUUAGGAAAAUCAUUCCACAUCAUAAAUUGAACAAUUUUUGUCAAAUCUUUAUGAAAUUUGGUCAGAAUAUUUGUCUGCAUAAUAUCUUAAAAGUUCUAUAAUAUGGGUCAUCCCCGGUCAAAACCUAGGUCACAAGGUCAAAUUUUAGAAGAAAGAAUCCCACAGUCAUAAAAAUUCAUUAAUUUUAGUCAAAUCUUUUUUAAACUUGGUCAGAAUAUUUGUCUACAUGUUGUCUUAAUCAUUUGUGAAUAUAGGUCACCUCAGAUCAAAAACUAGGUCACUAGGUCAAAUCUUAGGAAAUACUUUCCUGAUGUCAUAAAAAAAAUCUAUGCUUACCAAAGCUAUCCAUAUCAGUUAAUAACUAAAUUCAAUUGUUAUUUUAUAAACACACAUCCAAAUCAUGAAUUUCAGAUCUAACCAUAUUUUUCAAAAAUUUAAAUUUUAAUUAACUUUAAAAAUAUUUGUGUACAUGAAAUCUUAGAUGAUAAAGUGUGUCAUCUAGGGUCAAAAACUAGGUCUCUGGGACAGAUCUUAUUGGAAAAGCUGAUGUAUUUAUAAAAUGUUCGUUUUUCCUCACACAAAUGGAAUAGUUUCUGUUGAUCAGGUUAUUUGUAUGAAUGAUAUCUCCAAUAAAUAUAAAUAUGGGUCUUUUUGGUUAAAAAUACUAGGUCAUUAGCUCAAAUCCUAGGUUUGCAAAAUUGCAUUGUCAAAUAAAAAAUCAAGCUUUAUGCGGCGUUGCCGCGUUGGCGUCUUGUUAUUUUUUUAUUUUGACAGGCACAUUUUUAUAAUCUUAACCAAAUCAAACCUUGUUUUGUCACAUUGUGAUUCUUAUUCACUUUUUUUAUUUGAUUGUUUUAUUGCUUUUUACAGGCACAUAUCACACUAUUAUUGUAUUUACGUCCAAUUCCAAGAGGCGUAGUAGAGCGCACUGUUUUACGACAGCUCUUGUUAACCUGUAAAGUGAAACCUGGUUAUAAAAAUGACAUGACUGUGUCAUUGUGUUGGCAGGCCAGGAGGAGGGCACAUCAAAUACAUCUACAAACUUAGUAUACAAAGUAUUAUAGAAUUGCUUUCGGGGCCCAUAGGAUCAAGGUCACUAAAACAAAAAAUAUUGAAACUUAAUCGCACAACAAAGGCUUAAUUAAUUAGGUUUGUCUGUCAAUCAUUGAAAACUUGUUGUUUUUUUUGCAUUGCAGCAUUUCAUGCUUAAUUUUUAUUUUGUCUUUUUAUUGCAUAUUACCUUUAUCAUUAUUGUAUUCAUUUCUAAGACAAAGCAGCAUAUAGUUGAGGGCACUGCCCCAUGACAGCUCUUGUAUAUCCUAAAAAGAAUACAAUAGUGAUAUACCCUGAUAUAGGUAGUUUUGGUACAUUAUCACGGUUUUAAUUUUAGCUUUACUGGCCAAAGAUCAGAAUAUCUGAUGUGAUGGUAAUGUGUACGUAGUAUGUGCUUCCUAGCGCCUGUAAACAAUUGCUUGUGAACACCAUACAGUCUUUAGUUAUGAUUGUAUCUCAAUAAAACAGUAUUUAGAUAUCCAAUAGAGCUCGGUUCCUUUCGAAAACCAGUCAGAUCUGCCCAUGCAUGCCUAGAUUAUGGGCCUUGAACGUCUGUGCGACUGUAAACAAAAGUCACAAAUUCAUGUGAAAAAUUGUUCAAAUUAGGUCCCUGGGGUCAUUAUUGGCCACGCCACUGGGUUCACUGGUUUGGUAUACUAAAUUGGGAAAUGUUUGAAAAUCUUUAUGUCUGAAACAAUUAUGCAGACCCUUGUUAUUUUGAAUAAGGAUUAUUUUAUUGGUCUGCUACCAUGGUUGUUCAAAUUAUGCCCCUAGGGUCAAAACUGGCACUGCCCCCAGGGGUCACAAGUUUUUUAAGAAAUAUUUUCAAAAUCUUCUUGUUUCAAACCACAAGGCUCAUAUCUUUGAUAUUUGUUGUGGAGCAUUAUAUGUAGACCGUCUUGCAAAACAGUUGAAAUUAUGUGCCCUGGGCCGGGGCCACCAUCCAUUUUGUUACAAAAAUGAAAAUUUGACCAAUAGUACAGUUUUGUAGCAAAUUUUAUUCUCCUCAGAUGACCUUUACUUGGCACGUAUUAGAAUACUAUUAGUUCAUGCAACUAAUCUGCUUACAACACUUUCUGUUCUCAGAUGUUAAAUGUGCAACAUUUAAGCUAACUCAAACACAAAACGUGAACAAUAUGUUUGUUGGCUAUUACUCAUACAUACAUGCUCUGGAUCAAAAAUAACCACAUGAGCCAUGCCACUAGAGCAUAGGCACUCAUGGGCCUCUUGUUUUUUUUAGAAAAAAAGCAUACUAACCAACCCUAUUUAUUUUAGAAGUUAGCUGAAACUAAGAACUUUUUUUACCUUACUUUUAUAUUAGAUUGUGUAUUGCUAAGAUUUUUGCUUAAAGCUCCAUUUAAGGUAACUGUUCAUCUCAAAUGUAACAGCUUUUGCCUUCAAACUUUUAAAAUUUCAUUGAACCAGUGGGUUCAUCAUGAUGCACAUCUGUAAAUGUUUCUCCCUAAUAUGGGCUUUUAUGUAUGCAAACAGAACAUUGAACAAUUGGCUUUCUGUGUAAAGUAAACCCUGUCCAGAACAUUUGUCAAAUUGCUGUGUCAGCACUUGUUUGAAUGGAUUUAUUUUAUUUUCAUAUUAUGAUUUCAAAUAAAGUAUUUAAAAAUGUU